rnacentral:tRNA from 1 species
GGAGCCAUGGUGUAGUUGGUUUAACACGCCAGCCUGUCACGCUGGAGACCACGGGUUCGAGUCCCGUUGGCUCCGCCA